rnacentral:rRNA from 1 species
GAUGAACGCUGGCGGCGUGCUUAACACAUGCAAGUCGAACGAUGAAGCCCAGCUUGCUGGGUGGAUUAGUGGCGAACGGGUGAGUAACACGUGAGUAACCUGCCCUUAACUCUGGGAUAAGCCUGGGAAACUGGGUCUAAUACCGGAUAGGAGCGUCCACCGCAUGGUGGGUGUUGGAAAGAUUUAUCGGUUUUGGAUGGACUCGCGGCCUAUCAGCUUGUUGGUGAGGUAAUGGCUCACCAAGGCGACGACGGGUAGCCGGCCUGGGAGGGUGACCGGCCACACGGGGACUGAGACACGGCCCAGACUCCUACGGGAGGCAGCAGUGGGGGAUAUUGCACAAUGGGCGCAAGCCUGAUGCAGCGACGCCGCGUGAGGGAUGACGGCCUUCGGGUUGUAAACCUCUUUCAGUAGGGAAGAAGCGAAAGUGACGGUACCUGCAGAAGAAGCACCGGCUAACUACGUG